UCUAGUCUAAUCUGGUAAAGCUUUUGAGAUUUAGGUAGUAUAAAUGCGUGUGCAGGCUGCCUCAUAGCCGAGUAUUAUCAUCAUUUUAAAGAUAUGUAUUUUAAACUUGUAUUGAUUUCCGUUGGUCUCAUGUGUGUAGGUGUUGCCUUAGGUGCAGGCGAAUACGCAAACUGCUAUUAUUGCAAUGUUUAUUCCGACGAGAACCCUGAAGCCUUUAAGAACUGUCGUCACUUCAUUAAUAUUACCGACACUCAUUCAUGCCGUGCUACUUUCCUUUGGCCAGUUGCAAGAUGCAUAUUUUAUUUUAGAACUACUACAAGAAACGGAAAGACCGUAGAGCAAGCGAUAAGACAUUGUUCUGACAGGCAAUGUUAUGAACAUUAUAAUAGGGAGAAAAGAGGCCUUCACUGUUCGGAGUGCAAAGAUGAGAAUUAUUGCAAUACUGACAAAUAUUGAUCAAUAUGAUCAAGUCUAUAAAUAUUGUCAACAUUUUCCUGCAACCUACUGUUACUAUAAUGUUUCUUAAUAUUUUUGUUCUUUUUUCUUUGACAUUAUCCUCUAAACUAAAAAAUGUAAUAAUUAUGUUGUAAUAUACUUACGUGUUUAAAGCA